AUUGAACGCUGGCGGCAGGCCUAACACAUGCAAGUCGAGCGGAGCGGCGGACGGGCGAGUAAUGCCUAGGAAUCUGCCCGGCAGCGGGGGAGAACGUCCGGAAACGGGCGCUAAUACCGCAUACUAUCAGAUGAGCCUAGGUCGGAUUAGCUAGUUGGUGGGGUAAAGGCCUACCAAGGCGACGAUCCGUAACUGGUCUGAGAGGAUGAUCAGUCACACUGGAACGGAGACACGGUCCAGCCUCCUACGGGAGGCAGCAGUGGGGAAUAUUGGACAAUGAGCGAAAGCCUGAUCCAGCAAUGCCGCGUGUGUGAAGAAGGUCUUCGGAUUGUAAAGCACUUUGAGUUGGGAGGCGUUACCAACAGAAUAAGCACCGGCUAACUUCGUGCCAGCAGCCGCGGUAAUUC
rnacentral:rRNA from 1 species